rnacentral:rRNA from 1 species
AGUGAACGCUGGCGGUAGGCCUAACACAUGCAAGUCGAACGGCAGCACAGUAAGAGCUUGCUCUUACGGGUGGCGAGUGGCGGACGGGUGAGGAAUACAUCGGAAUCUACUUUUUCUUGGGGGAUAACGUAGGGAAACUUACGCUAAUACCGCAUACGACCUACGGGUGAAAGCAUGGGAUCUUCGGACCUUGCGCGAUUGUAUGAGCCGAUGUCGGAUUAGCUAGUUGGCGGGGUAAAGGCCCACCAAGGCGACGAUCCGUAGCUGGUCUGAGAGGAUGAUCAGCCACACUGGAACUGAGACACGGUCCAGACUCCUACGGGAGGCAGCAGUGGGGAAUAUUGGACAAUGGGCGCAAGCCUGAUCCAGCCAUACCGCGUGGGGGAAGAAGGCCUUCGGGUUGUAAAGCCCUUUUGUUGGGAAAGAAAAGCAGCAGGUUAAUACCCCGCUGUUCUGACGGUACCCAAAGAAUAAGCACCGGCUAACUUCGUG